CUUAUGUAUUUUAAAGUUAGAAUAUUGCAUUGAAGCUGCAAUGGUGGUUGGUUUGCCUGUAAGUAA
rnacentral:tRNA from 1 species